CGUCAGGUACAGUGCAGCAUUUAAUGGUCUUGCACUAACAGCUAGUCAGAUGGAACCUACUCAAAAUAACAGAAAAAGUGGAGUGAAAAGUACAAGCGGUUCUGAAAACUCAGGUUUUACCACAAAGGAGCAGACUAUCAAGAAAAGCAGCAGACGGACAGUUAUAAAGAAAAACGCAAAAGCAAAGACAACAGUGGGAGCUGGUUAUUCACAAGUGUAUGAUCCACUUGAUUCCACCAGGCCAGAGGAAAAUGCCUCAUCAAAGUGCCAAGUGUGUUUCUCCUCACUGAAAUGUAGUUAUAAAACAGGCCAAACUGAUGCAUCGCUACAGUGUACUCAAUGUGCUCAGUUCCUGUGUGGCUCCUGCCUCUACCCCUGCACUUCUGAUUCUGCUACCUGUACC